rnacentral:tRNA from 1 species
UAGGCUGAAGCUCGCUGGAAUGAGCGUUUAACUGUUAAUUAAAAGGUCGUGGGGUAGAAGCCCAUCAGUCUAG